GACGAACGCUGGCGGCGUGCCUAAUACAUGCAAGUCGAACGCUGAAGGAGGAGCUUGCUUCUCUGGAUGAGUUGCGAACGGGUGAGUAACGCGUAGGUAACCUGCCUGGUAGCGGGGGAUAACUAUUGGAAACGAUAGCUAAUACCGCAUAAUAGUAGAUGUUGCAUGACAUUUGCUUAAAAGGUGCAAUUGCAUCACUACCAGAUGGACCUGCGUUGUAUUAGCUAGUUGGUGGGGUAACGGCUCACCAAGGCGACGAUACAUAGCCGACCUGAGAGGGUGAUCGGCCACACUGGGACUGGGACACGGCCCAGACUCCUACGGGAGGCAGCAGUAGGGAAUCUUCGGCAAUGGACGGAAGUCUGACCGAGCAACGCCGCGUGAGUGAAGAAGGUUUUCGGAUCGUAAAGCUCUGUUGUAAGAGAAGAACGAGUGUGAGAGUGGAAAGUUCACACUGUGACGGUAUCUUACCAGAAAGGGACGGCUAACUACGUG
rnacentral:rRNA from 1 species